rnacentral:ncRNA from 5 species
UAUUGCACUUGUCCCGGCCUUU